rnacentral:rRNA from 1 species
AUGGAAGCUGUGCGCGGCAUCGAGUCCCUGGCUGGUGGAGAUGGCCGGCAUCAUGUUUCCCAUACCCUUGGGACGACCCUGCUGAUCUCGGUGGGGUACAUCGAUCUCGGCAAGUGGGUGGCCGCGGUUGAUUCCGGGGCUCGCUUUGGCUACGACCUCGUGCUACUGGUGCUCUUCUUCAACUUGUCCGCGGUUCUCAAUCAGUAUCUCUCAACUUGCAUCGGCAUGGUCACCGGCAAGAAUCUUGCACUGAUUUCCCGCCAGGAGUACAGCCAGUUCAUAUGUGUUGGCCUUGGUAGGCAGAGUCCUAGGACUAGAGAAACAAACACCACCUAA